UACGUAGGGGGCGAGCGUUGUCCGGAAUUAUUGGGCGUAAAGGGUUCGUAGGCGGUAAUACAUGUCAGAUGUGAAAUCUUGUGGCUUAACCACAUCAAGCAUCUGAAACUGUAUAACUUGAGUGGAGGAGAGGUAAGUGGAAUUCCUAGUGUAGCGGUGAAAUGCGUAGAUAUUAGGAAGAAUACCAGUAGCGAAGGCGACUUACUGGCCUCUAACUGACGCUGAUGAACGAAAGCGUGGGUAGCAAACAGGAUUAGAUACCCCCCGUAGUCCCU
rnacentral:rRNA from 1 species